rnacentral:rRNA from 1 species
GCGAACGCUGGCGGCAGGCCUAACACAUGCAAGUCGAGCGCCCGUAGCAAUACGGGAGCGGCAGACGGGUGAGUAACACGUGGGAACGUGCCCUUUGGUUCGGAAUAACUCAGGGAAACUUGAGCUAAUACCGGAUAAGCCCUUACGGGGAAAGAUUUAUCGCCGAAGGAGCGGCCCGCGUCCGAUUAGCUAGUUGGUGGGGUAAUGGCCCACCAAGGCUACGAUCGGUAGCUG